GUUGAUUAACUUUUUCUCUUGCUGCAUUACCGGCUGUACGUUUCUUGUUCGUCACAUGGGGAAAUACUUCAGAACAGUAAAAGCAUGGUGAAGUCUGAGCUUCUUCAUUGCAGUCCAACGUGUACAUGGAUUUGUUGCAGCCAGCUGGCGAAAGGUGUUCCUCUUGCAACCUUGCUACCGGUUGUAGCUUUUGUCACAUCCAGGAACACUCCAGAUGAUUUAACUAUGAACCCUAAAUUGUGUCCACCAGGGGGCAAAAUUUCCAUGGGCAGUUCUACGAGCUGUUUACGGUGUUGCUGUUUGGGGUACAGUGGUUUUGCAGACAUUUUUCCAGUUGAGAGAUGCGCUGAAAUGGAGCUUGUGCAGACUUGCAGUUGGACAUCAUACUUUAAUGUGUCAUUUUCCUAUUUUGGUGUCCAUGCAGUGUUGAACUGUUGUGCAAAAUAGUCAAUGUUGCGUUAUGGCUGUCGGGCUUAUUUUAUCGGCAGCAUUUUGUCGAUAUGUCGUCUCUUGCUACCUGUACUUCCGUCGAGUUGAUUCGUUCGUCGCCGUUCAUUAGACUUGAUUCACCGGUGAAACUAAGAAGACGUCGCUGAAAUUCAAGAUUGAUCAAUAAAUUAUGUAGAUGUAUAUAAAUUACAAGUGCAUAUCUGGGCUCCCUUCUUCAGUGGCCCCGUUUCCCUAACUAACCACUAACCAACGACUAACCAACGACUAACCAACGCCCGCCGGUGGUCACUCACUCGCUGCGAUAACCAGGAGGAAAGGAGAUGUUUGGUCGAACGGGGACUUGCAAGGCGCAUGAUUCGAUGAAAUCUGUUGGAGGGUCAUGAGUCUCUCUAAGCCGGAAGCCUACUAUGGUUAGGUUAUCCUGAAACCUUUAGGGUUGCCAUUCCAUCGAGGCUUAAACGAGAUGACGCGGGGGUGUUUCCUAUUGAGAAGUUUUGGUGACAAGGAGUCACUGAACGAAACGCUAAACCAAAUGAAAAAAAAUAUAUAUAUAUUAAAAAAGCCAACGAUCCUUUAUACAUCCGAGCCGAGUCCUUUCCGUCAACAUUCGGUGUGAAGAGCAAAACCCGAAUUUAACACAUUUUACUGCUUAGCAACGAAAACAAAGCGAGUGUCAAAACAUUGUUUUACUUGUACAUACUUUAUUGUGGCAGAAACGCGUUGGUCAUGUAACAGGGUGAAAUUUGUUUUCCCUUUUUUUGAAGCAGCAUCAAACGACACGCGAUAGGUUCUGGCGGUAAUCAACUAUUCAAGAUGAUAGACCUGUCAAUGUAAAAGACAGGAUUUUCUUCUCCGACCGCAGGUGCAAGGAUUAUGUGUUUGAAACUUAGAAAAGUGUAGAACGGUAGAAUAUUAAAAAAAAAAAAAUAACGACAGUCCUUCAAACGGUUCGAAAUGGAAUUCACUCACCGAAGACACGAGUCAAAUGACUCAAAUGUGGUAUUUUUAAAACCCAUUCCCAGCAACGUCAACCUGCAGAAAGAAAAAGGUCAGUUUCUAUGACCUUGACGCUCGAAGGUCACGGAGAUCAUUACGUAAAACGUGUCAUGCAGUGGUGUAGAGGUUGGGUGAGAAUGACACGUGUUGCUUCAUUAUCUAAAAGACCCAUCCCCGGCAAAGUCACCUGCAGAAGGAAAGGCCAGUUUGCAUUUCAAUCGAAGGUCAUGGAUAUCAUUACGUAAAAGGUGUCAGGCAUUGGUGUAAAGGUUGGGUGAGAACGGGACGUUUUGCUUCAUUAUCAAGAAGUUGACAGGGAUCAGUCGAGUGAGCAUCUCCGACACGGCAACAACUCCAUAUUUCGUCGUAAUAUCAGUUCGCAAUCACGGUUAACUAUGCCGUCGUGCUGCUAUUGGUUGUUGUAUCGUUGAUGGCUGGGUCGACCACUGGUGUACCGAUGUCUCCUGGAUAAGGCGGAUACCAAACCGCAACGCCGCCGCCGCCUUACUACACAACAACAUACGCAACGACCAGUUACUACACCGAGGUUGCACAGUUGGGUUUACAGUUAAACCACCAAGGAUUCAGAUUAUUACACCACAACUUGUGCCGCUCCCCUAGCUACACUACCGAAGCGCAGAGUACUACACCGAGGCUCCUAAGUACUACACCACCGAGGCACCUACUGAGACUACGCAACUACGUAUGCUGACCCAACCUAUGACACCGAGGCUCCAGCUUAUUACACCACUAAAGCUGUCGAAUACUACACUGGAGCGCCCAAGUACGAUAGAAGUCAGUCAAGUGAGCUUCUCCGACACGCAACACGGCAGCCCCGAAGUUUCGAAUAAUAUUCGUUUCAAACAGUGGAACGACAAAGAGUGAGGCAAAGAUAACGGUGGCGUAGCAUUCGUACGUGUACACCGCGUCGUUAAACUUGACAUUGUCGGUCGGAAAGCCGAACUUGACGAUGGCCGUGCCAUAAGUCUACGACAAGUGCCUUAUUGCCACAGGUGGUAACAAAAAUCUUUGAGCGGUGCCCUCAAAGAUGUCCACGAGCACGUAAUGCUGUUCCGCAACAUCGAUGGCGGUAACAUAGGCCGAGUCCUCCCUAAAUAUUUGAGCCAAUCGACUUCCGAGAAGGUGAAAGCGCAAGGUGUCAAUGUGUUGUCCAAAGCCAAUGUUGAGGGUGCAAUUUUGAAAGAAGACAAGGUCGCAUUGACUUUAAACGAUGGUCAAAAGAUUUAAACUGGCCAUAACGUCGCUGUUGUCGAUUGGGACGCAAACUUCACGGAUUUGGCUGUCGUUUCUGGUUCGGAAAUAGAUUCCAAUUUUGGUGGUUAUCGAGUCAAUACCGAGCUUGAAGCACGAUCGAACGUCUGGUUAGCUGGAGAUGUUACGUCUUUUUGUGAUAUCAAAUUGGGCUGCGUGGUACGGAACAUCAUCACUUUGCUGUUGUAUCAGGGCGAUUGCUGGAGAGAACACUACUGGCAACGAAACAUGGAUGAACAACUGCAGUGCACUGUCACCAAGUUCAUUCUUCGUCGUAUUAUCAGUACGCAAUCGGUGUCGUGCUGUUGCCGUUUGUCGUAUCGUUGAAGGUUGGGUCGAUCACUGUUGUACUCGUGGCUCCUGGGUAAGGCGGAUACCAAAGCACCACGCCGCCGCCUUGCUACACAACAACAACAUUCGCACCAACUGGUUACUACACUGAGGACCACAAUUACUACACCACCAAGGCUCUAGAGUAUUACACCGCAGCUAAUGCUGCCCCGAGCUAAAUCACCAAAGAUCCUGAGUACUACACCGAGGCUCCCAAGUACUACACCACCAAGUCACCGGAGUACUACACGUAUGUUGCCCCAUCUUAUACACCGAGGCUCCCAAGUAUUACUCAGUUCUCGCUACUACACCGAAGCUCCAACUUAUUACACCACCAAAGCGGCUGAAUAUACAACGAGCCGCCCAAAUACUACACCACCAAGGCUCCAGAGUAUUACACCACAACUUAUGCUUCCCCGAGCCACUACACUGAAGCCCCGAAGUAUUACUCUGCCUCAAGCUACACAGACUUACUACACAGCGGCUGCUGCUCCUUCGUACUACGUUGAACCAGAAUACUACACCGAGGCUCCAGUUUACUACACCACAACCUACGCUACACCUAGCUACUACACCGAGGCACCUAAGUACUACGCUACCAAGGCACCUGAGUACCACUACUCACGCUGCUCCGACCAGCUACACUGAAGCUCCGACGUAUUCUAGUGUUUGGACAAAGGAGUUGUAUAUAGUGUUUGGUUUCUCAUAGAAGUUUAUUUGAAGGGUCUGGAGUUGAUCAGUCACUUGCCCAUAACUCAUGUAAAACUUCAAAGUUGUAAAAAAUGUACAAGUCGUGAACUAA